rnacentral:rRNA from 1 species
ACAUACGACCAUAGGGUGUGGAAAACAGGGCUUCCCGUCCGCUCAGCCGUACUUAAGCCACCCGCCGGUGAGUUAGUAGUUGGGUGGGUGACCACCAGCGAAUCCUCACUGUUGUAUGUU